AUACGGAGGAUCCGAGCGUUAUCCGGAUUUAUUGGGUUUAAAGGGAGCGUAGGUGGAUUGUUAAGUCAGUUGUGAAAGUUUGCGGCUCAACCGUAAAAUUGCAGUUGAAACUGGCAGUCUUGAGUACAGUAGAGGUGGGCGGAAUUCGUGGUGUAGCGGUGAAAUGCUUAGAUAUCACGAAGAACUCCGAUUGCGAAGGCAGCUCACUAGACUGUUACUGACACUGAUGCUCGAAAGUGUGGGUAUCAAACAGGAUUAGAUACCCUGGUAGUCCACACAGUAAACGAUGAAUACUCGCUGUUUGCGAUAUACAGUAAGCGGCCAAGCGAAAGCAUUAAGUAUUCCACCUGGGGAGUACGCCGGCAACGGUGAAACUCAAAGGAAUUGACGGGGGCCCGCACAAGCGGAGGAACAUGUGGUUUAAUUCGAUGAUACGCGAGGAACCUUACCCGGGCUUAAAUUGCAACAGAAUAUAUUGGAAACAGUAUAGCUGUAAGGCUGUUGUGAAGGUGCUGCAUGGUUGUCGUCAGCUCGUGCCGUGAGGUGUCGGCUUAAGUGCCAUAACGAGCGCAACCCUUAUCUUUAGUUACUAACAGGUCAUGCUGAGGACUCUAGAGAGACUGCCGUCGUAAGAUGUGAGGAAGGUGGGGAUGACGUCAAAUCAGCACGGCCCUUACGUCCGGGGCUACACACGUGUUACAAUGGGGGGUACAGAAGGCGGCUACCUGGUGACAGGAUGCUAAUCCCAAAAACCUCUCUCAGUUCGGAUCGAAGUCUGCAACCCGACUUCGUGAAGCUGGAUUCGCUAGUAAUCGCGCAUCAGCCAUGGCGCGGUGAAUACGUUCCCGGGCCUUGUACACACCGCCCGUCAAGCCAUGAAAGCCGGGGGUACCUGAAGUACGUAACCGCAAGGAGCGUCCUAGGGUAAAACUGGUAAUUGGGGCU
rnacentral:rRNA from 1 species